UACGUAGGGUGCAAGCGUUGCUCGGAAUUACUGGGCGUAAAGCGCACGUAGGCGGCCCGGUAAGUCGGAUGUGAAAUCCCUCGGCUCAACCAAGGAAGUGCAUCCGAAACUGCGGAGCUUGAGUACUUAAGAGGAUCGCGGAAUUCCCGGUGUAGAGGUGAAAUUCGUAGAUAUCGGGAGGAACACCAGUGGCGAAGGCGGCGAUCUGGGAAGAUACUGACGCUGAGGUGCGAAAGCGUGGGGAGCAAACAGG
rnacentral:rRNA from 1 species